UACGAAGGGGGCUAGCGUUGCUCGGAAUUACUGGGCGUAAAGGGCGCGUAGGCGGCCAGCACAAGUCAGUUGUGAAAUCUCCGAGCUUAACUCGGAAAGGUCAACUGAUACUGUGCGGCUAGAGUGCGGAAGGGGCAACUGGAAUUCUUGGUGUAGCGGUGAAAUGCGUAGAUAUCAAGAGGAACACCUGCGGCGAAGGCGGGUUGCUGGGCCGAACACGUGACGCUGAUGCGCGAAAGCCAGGGAGCGAACGGG
rnacentral:rRNA from 1 species